UCUGUCAAUUUUCUACUGUACAGCAAGGUGACCCAGUCUCACAUACCUGUAUACAUUCUUUUUUCUCACAUUAUUGUGUUCCAUCAUAAGUGACUAGAUAUAGUUCCCAGUCCUAUAAGCAGGAUCUCAUUGCUUAUCCAUUCCAAAGGCAAUAGCUAUUGUUAUUAUUAAUCCCAAAUUCGCAAUCCAUCCCACUCCCCCCACCUCCUUGGCAACCACAAGGCUGUUCUCCAAGUCCAUAAUUUUCUUUUCUGUGGAAAAGUGCCAACAUAUGGAUGGGGGAGGGGAACACAUUAGGCCAUAGUAGCUAGUAAGGCAUAAUUAGUGUUGGAGGAAUUGAUACAAGAUAUAAGUGGAAAAGUAGAGAGGGACUAGGUCAUGCAGAUUAUGCUUAGGAUUUUAUCCUAAGUGAUGGGAAUGCACUGGGGGUUUUGUAAAGCAUAUUAAAAUCUGACUUACAUUUUUGAAAAGUUACUGUGGUGGCUUUGUGGAAUAUUGAAUGUAAAGAGCAAAGGGAAUAACCAAGAAAACUUGGGAAGAUCUCUACUUGUGGCUGUGUAAACCUCAUAUUUGCACCACCAUUGCCAGCUUUGUAAAUUGCCUGUGGAACAUCCAAACAGAUAAUAGGUGUUCCUAUGGCUGGAUGGGUCUGGUCUAAGCAACUGUGGGCUUUACAGAUGUGUACACACAGGGGCUGGGCCAGGCCAGGGUCUGAGAUACCUCUCUAACUCCCACUGCAGGUCCAGGUGUAUAACUACUACAGUCCUGGGACUUGACUUUAAAAGAUCUGCACUGGUGGCCUGAUAAAAACAAUGCCUUAAAGAUACCAGGACUGAUUUAUGGCAUACUCAUGUUGAGGUAUGGCUGAGUGCAGUGCCAAUAACAGUUUACUUUGUGAGCCAUAUAAGGGUGAAAAGUGACACAACAGAGUAUAGUUGCCAGUGCACAGCUCCAGCAGAGGAAUUCUCAUUGGCUCAUCUCCCAAUAGAAGCACUCUAAUCCUACCCACCCCACAAUGAAGAUCAGAAAGACAGCUCAGAAACAGAUCUGGGGGUUUCUAUUCUACCAACUAGGGAUAAGACCCUGCUUCUGACAGAGCAGUGACAACCGCAGUGCAAAGAGGAGGCCCCACUCAAUAUCCAGUUCAGGUUCUGGUCACCACAACCUCAGUUACAUCUACUCUAAAGGGCAUAAUGGCCAGCAUAUACCAAAGAAAAAGGUAGCAGACAUCCAUUCUAAAAAGAGCCCUCACACCAAAGUAUAUUAAGCCCAUGCAGGCUAUACAGGGAUGUUCCUACAUAAAAAUAGCCCUCCAAGGCCACAGUAGAUAACUGUUUGUCCUAAACUUAUAGGGCAAGAGAAAUAUAAUUAAAACGAAGAAACAGAAGAGCCACUCCCAAUUAAAAGAUUGAGAGAGAGUUCUCUUGUGCCACAGCAAGUUAAGGUUCUGGCACUGUCACUUCAGUGGCUCAGGCUGCUGGUCUGGUGCAGAUUUGAUCCCUGUCCCAAAAACUUCCACAUGCUGCAGGUGUGACAAAAAAAAAGAGAGAUUGAGAAACUGAAAGAAUUCCAUGGAAAGAAACAAUGAAACAGACCUCUUCAGUCUAAUAGACACCAGGUUCAAAAAGGGGAACAUACAAAUAUUGAAGGAAUUAAAAAAGGCUAUCAACAUAUAUUUUACUGUAAAAAAGAACUAGAAACUAUACAGAAGAGCCAAAAAAUUAAAGAAUUCACUUGAAGAAAUGAAAACUGAACUAAAGUCUAUGAAUAGCAAAUUGAAUAAUGCAGAAGAAUGAAUAACUGACCUGGGAGAUAGAAUAACAGAAAUAACCCAAUUAGAACAUCAGGCAGAAACCCAAAUGAAAAAAUAUAUAUAUACGGAAUAAUAUAAAAUGUGCCAACCAAUGCAUAAUAGGAAUCCCAGAAGAAGAACAAAGAGAAAGGGGAAUUUAAAAUGCGCUUGAAAAAAUUAUAGUCGAGAACUUCCCAAACCUAAAGAAUAACCAGAUACAAGAAAAACAGAAGGUCCUGAAUAAGAUGAACCCAAGCAUAUUACUGAUACCAAGACAUAUUACAAUAAAAAUGGCAAAAGCUAAAGAUUCUAAAGGCAGCUAGAGAAAAAUAAAGAUUUAAUUACAAAAGAACCCUCCCCAUAAGGCUAUCAUCUCAUUUCUCUACAGAAAUAUUUCAGGCAAGGAGUUCCGGUUGUGGCACAGUGGUUAACAAAUCCGACUAGGAACCAUGAGGUUGUGGGUUCGGUCCCUGCCGUUGCUCAGUGGGUUAACGAUUCAGCAUUGCCAUGAGCUGUGGUGUAGAUUGCAGACACGGCUCGGAUCCCGUGUUGCUGUUGCUCUGGUGUAGGCCAGGGGCUACAGCUCCAAUUAGACCCCUAGCCUGGGAACCUCCAUAUGCCGUGGCAGCGGCCCAAGAA
rnacentral:lncRNA from 1 species